GAUCUCCGUAGUGGGUGAGAGUCCCGUACGUGAAAGCGGCAAUUGUUGAUGGUUCUUGUUUCCCGAGUAGCACCGGGCCCGUGAAAUCCGGUGUGAAUCUGUCGGGACCACCCGAUAAGCCUAAAUACUUCUUGAUGACCGAUAGCGGACCAGUACCGUGAGGGAAAGGUGAAAAGUACCCCGGGAGGGGAGUGAAAUAGUACCUGAAACCGUGUGCUUACAAUCCGUCAGAGGCUUUCGGGCUGAUGGCGUGCCUUUUGAAGAAUGAGCCUGCGAGUUAGUGGUAUGUCGCGAGGUUAACCCGUGUGGGGAAGCCGGAGCGAAAGCGAGUCCGAAUAGGGCGUUUAGUGGCAUGCUCUAGACCCGAAGCGGGGUGAUCUACCCAUGGCCAGUGUGAAGCGACGGUAAGACGUCGUGGAGGCGCGAACCCACUUAGGUUGAAAACUGAGGGGAUGAGCUGUGGGUAGGGGUGAAAGGCCAAUCAAACUCCGUGAUAGCUGGUUCUCCCCGAAAUGCAUUUAGGUGCAGCGUCGUGUGUUUCAUCUUGGAGGUAGAGCUACUGGAUGGUCAAGGGGGCUUAUCCGCUUACCAACACCAGCCAAACUCCGAAUGCCAGGAUGUGAGAGCACGGCAGUGAGACUGUGGGGGAUAAGCUUCAUAGUCGAGAGGGAAACAGCCCAGAUCGCCGGCUAAGGCCCCUAAGCGUGUACUAAGUGGAAAAGGAUGUGGGAUCGCUUAGACAACCAGGAGGUUGGCUCAGAAGCAGCCACCCUUGAAAGAGUGCGUAAUAGCUCACUGGUCAAGUGGUCCUGCGCCGACAAUGUAGUGGGGCUCAAGUACACCGCCGAAGCCGCGGCAUUCCUUUUUGGGAUGGGUAGGGGAGCGUCGUGUAUCCGUUGAAGCUGCAGAGUGAUCUAGUGGUGGAGGGUAUGCGAGUGAGAAUGCAGGCAUGAGUAGCGAAUGACAUGUGGGAAACAUGUCCUCCGGAUGACCAAGGGUUCCUGGGCUAGGCUAAUCCUCCCAGGGUGAGUCGGGUCCUAAGGCAAGGCCGACAGGCGUAGUCGAUGGAUAACGGGUUGAUAUUCCCGUACCCGUAUAAGCGCGCCCAUGGUGAAUCAGUGAUACUAACUGUCCAGAAGCUGCUGUUUUCUCUUUUUAAGGAGAUGGUUGUGGAUGCACAGGACCUGAUCUGGUAGUAGCCAAGCGAUGGGGUGACGCAGGAAGGUAGCUGUGCCAGGUAGUGGAUUGCCUGGUGUAAGCGUGUAGGGUGACAGGUUGGUAAAUCCGCUUGUUGUGUACCUGAGACGUGAUGCGUAGCCAUUGUGGUGAAGUUAGUGAUCCUAUGCUGCCGAGAAAAGCCUCUAGUGAGUUCUUAUGCGGCCCGUACCCUAAACCGACACAGGUGGUCAGGUAGAGAAUACUAAGGAGUUCGAGAGAACUGUGGUUAAGGAAUUCGGCAAAAUGCCCCCGUAACUUUGGAAGAAGGGGGACCGAUGUUGGUGAGCACUUUUUCGGUGUGAGCUGGUGUUGGUCGCAGAGACCAGAGAGAAGCGACUGUUUACCAAAAACACAGGUCCGUGCGAAGACGUAAGUCGAUGUAUACGGACUGACGCCUGCCCGGUGCUGGAAGGUUAAGAGGACUGGUUAGUGGCCCUUGUGGCUGCGAAGCUGAGAAUUUAAGCCCCAGUAAACGGCGGUGGUAACUAUAACCAUCCUAAGGUAGCGAAAUUCCUUGUCGGGUAAGUUCCGACCUGCACGAAUGGAGUAACGAUUUCCCUACUGUCUCCACCAUGAACUCGGUGAAAUUGCAUUACGAGUAAAGAUGCUCGUUACGCGCAGCAGGACGGGAAGACCCCGGGACCUUUACUAUAGUUUGGUAUUGGUGAUUGGGACGGUUUGUGUAGGAUAGGUGGGAGACGUUGAUGCGGCCACG
rnacentral:rRNA from 1 species